CCGGCACGGGUGAGUAACACGUAUCCAACCUGCCGUCUACUCUUGGCCAGCCUUCUGAAAGGAAGAUUAAUCCAGGAUGGCAUCAUGAGUUCACAUGUCCGCAUGAUUAAAGGUAUUUUCCGGUAGACGAUGGGGAUGCGUUCUAUUAGAUAGUAGGCGGGGUAACGGCCCACCUAGUCAACGAUGGAUAGGGGUUCUGAGAGGAAGGUCCCCCACAUUGGAACUGAGACACGGUCCAA
rnacentral:rRNA from 1 species